rnacentral:rRNA from 1 species
GACGAACGCUGGCGGCGCGCCUAACACAUGCAAGUCGGACGGGGAUCAUGUAGAAGCUUGCUUAGACAUGAUUUUAGUGGCGGACGGGUGAGUAACGCGUGAGGACUUGUCAGUUACAGGGGGACAACGGAUGGAAACGUCAGCUAAUACCCCAUAAGCCGAGAGGUAAAAGGAGCGAUCCGGUAACAGAGAGACUCGCGUUCCAUCAGCUAGUUGGAGGGGUAAAGGCUCUCCAAGGCGAAGACGGAUAGCCGGACUGAGAGGUUGGCCGGCCACAUUGGAACUGAGAGACGGUCCAG